UGGCUCAGGAUGAACGCUAGCUACAGGCUUAACACAUGCAAGUCGAGGGGCAGCGCAGUGUAGCAAUACAUGGGCGGCGACCGGCGCACGGGUGCGUAACGCGUAUCCAACCUUCCCGUUACUCUUGGAUAGCCUUCCGAAAGGGAGAUUAAUACAAGAUGGUAUUCAAAUUCCGCAUGUUAUUUGAAUUAAAGAUUUAUCGGUAACGGAUGGGGAUGCGUGACAUUAGAUAGUAGGCGGGGUAACGGCCCACCUAGUCUACGAUGUCUAGGGGUUCUGAGAGGAAGGUCCCCCACACUGGAACUGAGACACGGUCCAGACUCCUACGGGAGGCAGCAGUGAGGAAUAUUGGUCAAUGGUCGGAAGACUGAACCAGCCAAGUAGCGUGAAGGAUGAAGGUUCUAUGGAUUGUAAACUUCUUUUAUACGGGAAUAAAACCUCCCACGUGUGGGAGCUUGUAUGUACCGUAUGAAUAAGCAUCGGCUAACUCCGUG
rnacentral:rRNA from 1 species